UACAGAGGUGGCAAGCGUUGUUCGGAAUUACUGGGCGUAAAGGGCGCGUAGGCGGCCUUCUAAGUCAGACGUGAAAUCCCCCGGCUUAACCUGGGAACUGCAUUUGUGACUGCAUCGCUGGAGUGCGGCAGAGGGGGAUGGAAUUCCGCGUGGUAGCAGUGAAAUGCGUAGAUAUGCGGAGGAACACCGAUGGCGAAGGACAAUCCCCUGGGCCUGCACUGACGCUCAGUGCACGAAAGCGUGGGGAGCAAACAGGAUUGAGA
rnacentral:rRNA from 1 species